rnacentral:rRNA from 1 species
GAUGAACGCUAGCUACAGGCUUAACACAUGCAAGUCGAGGGGCAGCAUGAAGUUUGCUUGCAAACUUUGAUGGCGACCGGCGCACGGGUGAGUAACGCGUAUCCAACCUGCCCCGUACUCGGGUAUAGCCCAGCGAAAGCUGGAUUAAUCCCCGAUGUCACCUUUAUGGUGCAUGCCAUAUUGGUUAAAGUUAUUCGGUACGGGAUGGGGAUGCGUCUGAUUAGGUAGUAGGCGGGGUAACGGCCCACCAAGGCUACGAUCGUUAGGGGUUCUGAGAGGAAGGUCCCCCACACUGGAACUGAGACACGGUCCAGACUCCUACGGGAGGCAGCAGUGAGGAAUAUUGGUCAAUGGGCGCGAGCCUGAACCAGCCAAGUAGCGUGAAGGAUGACUGCCCUACGGGUUGUAAAACUUCUUUUGCAAGGGAGCAAUAAGGUCUACGUGUAGACUGAUGAGAGUACCUUGCGAAUAAGCAUCGGCUAACUCCGUGCCAGCAGCC